AGCUUUAUAGUCAAUAAUGAUAUAAAAUUGCAAAUUUUAAGGGGUAAUUAUAAUAUACUAAGGCUU
rnacentral:tRNA from 3 species